rnacentral:rRNA from 1 species
UACGGAGGAUGCGAGCGUUAUCCGGAUUUAUUGGGUUUAAAGGGUGCGCAGGCGGUCUGUUAAGUCAGCGGUCAAAGCCCGGGGCUCAACCCCGGCCCGCCGUUGAAACUGGCAGUCUCGAGUUGGAGAGAAGUAUGCGGAAUGCGCGGUGUAGCGGUGAAAUGCAUAGAUAUCGCGCAGAACUCCGAUUGCGAAGGCAGCAUGCCGGCUCCACACUGGCGCUGAGGCACGAAAGCGUGGGUAUCGAACAGG